UGGGGAAUAUUGGACAAUGGGCGGAAGCCUGAUCCAGCAACGCCGCGUGAGGGAUGACGGCCUUCGGGUUGUAAACCUCUUUCAGUACCGACGAAGCGAAAGUGACGGUAGGUACAGAAGAAGGACCGGCCAACUACGUGCCAGCAGCCGCGGUAAUACGUAGGGUCCGAGCGUUGUCCGGAAUUAUUGGGCGUAAAGGGCUCGUAGGCGGUUUGUCGCGUCGGGAGUGAAAACAGCGGGCUUAACUCGUUGCUUGCUUUCGAUACGGGCAGACUAGAGGUAUGCAGGGGAGAAUGGAAUUCCUGGUGUAGCGGUGAAAUGCGCAGAUAUCAGGAGGAACACCGGUGGCGAAGGCGGUUCUCUGGGCAUUACCUGACGCUGAGGAGCGAAAGUGUGGGGAGCGAACAGGAUUAGAUACCCUGGUAGUCCACACCGUAAACGUUGGGCGCUAGGUGUGGGGUCCUUUCCACGGAUUCCGUGCCGUAGCUAACGCAUUUAAGCGCCCCGCCUGGGGGAGUACGGCCGCAAGGCUAAAACUUAAAUGAAUUGAC
rnacentral:rRNA from 1 species